AGGCGGAGCGUGGCAGGGAAGCUGCUGGAGAUGUAGACUGAGCCCGAAUCAGGCAGUCCAUGUGAACUCCAUUGAAAUAUGGUGUGUCAAAUGAGUAUUGUGCCUCAGCACAUCAGCAGAGUGAGCAGUGUGAUGGCUGCUUUGGUCAGUGGAGGAAGUUGAAACGAAGACAGAGUGAAGAUGGAGAAACAAGAUGGAAGUGGUAGAGAGAACCAAGAGAGAAGGCUAAGGUGGCUCUGAGAAGGAAUAGAGAGACUUUUCUUCCUGUUAAGGGCAGUAGAGGGAAUAAUCCAGCUGACAACUCACUAUUCACAGCCAUCUGGCUCCAGGAACAACAGAUUGAUCGUGUAUGUGCCCAACUCUUUCAAAAUGGAAAUGAUGAACCCACAAAGGAAAAACUCCCAAGGAUUUUAAUAGGACGUAUUGCCUAAUACAAAACAGCAAAUGAUAAGGACUUCUGCAGAAGGAAAGCAAUCAAACAAAACAAAGAAGGGAAGAAACAAAGAAAGAUAAUGACAGGUUAUCAUCAGCCUGGCCUCGGAUCUGUGCUUGGAGAAACCUGCUGCCACUGAUAGUGCUCAUAAAGUACAACACCUAUUGCUGUUUUUAGUAUUUUGGUAUGAAGUGUAACCAAAUCAUUUACCUAAUGGAGGCCACACAUUGUCAGUUCUAGUCUAGACGUGUACCUAUUCAGCUGCAUCAUGGUUAACUUCAUCCAAAUACCAGGAUCACCAUACUGAUAUGCUCGGGAGUAGCAGAUGUGCUUCUGAGUGAGCCUCAGUCAAAACAAAGUGAACCAUUUAAUGACUCAAGCUUUCCAUUUGUUUCCUGAGGUGCUCUUUUGUUUCUCCUCUGUUGCCCUUAUACCUUAUACUCAAUCAUUUUAUUCAUCUUCUUGGCUUUGUAUCUUCUGUUUUUCUUGCUUUCAUGACUGCCUCCUUCACUCAGUUUCUAUU